GUGGUCGAGUCGUUGCGUGCUCGCUUAUUCUGCGUGUUCGUCAUAAAAUCGAUGUUUAUUUUGACGUGACUACGAAUUUUGUUUACGCGAUUGUACGACUUCUUCGGUGUUCGUAUACCGGGGGAGAUUGUGUUGUGUUUGUGUUUUUUCUAUGACGCUUGCGUUCACUUCACUUGCAGUGAUUUUGCUGAUAGCUCAUUCACCGGUCGGUGUGCGCGUGAUAAACUUCGUGUAUUAUAAAAAAUAAGGCGAAUAGUCGUCAAGUGUGGGUGUCUUACAGUACCACGAUGCUGUGCACGGUGACAUAGUGAACGUUGAAUUAACCCUGACCUCUGACAACCAUGUCUGGUCGUUCGGAUUGCAGGAAAUUUGCACCAAAUAUCUUUAAUAAGAGCAAGUGCACCAAUUGCUUCCGACAGAAGGAGGAGCACAGCGCCGAGGCAUUGGAAUCUAAUCGGGCCAGCAGGAAGAUAUCAAGAUGCGGAUACCUGUUCGUCGCACCGGGCUGGGACUUCUCCAAUCCGCUCUACAGAACAAAGGUAACACAUUCGCAAACAUGAUAGGACAUCACGUUUAAUUUCUCACUAACAUAUGCAAAAUAAGUAAGGUGAAGUUGUUAGCGGCGGCGGCCGGCGGGCGAUUGUUAUAAUUAAUGUCCGAUGAUAUCACAUCAAGAUGUUCAGUAACGUUCAGCAUUAGUGAAAGUGCCGGC